AGAGAUGGAGUUUGUUGGCUGGGCUGUGAAGAUGCUGGAGUCAGUGCUGUGAGGAGCUGCAUGUGAUAGAUCACUGAGAAGGGUGAGGCAGAGCAGUCAGGCUCCUUCAAAUCCAAGCAUGAAGUGGGUGAGCCAAAGGAUUCACCGCUGCCCAGAGAGCAUCACACCUCCACUAGCCUAAAAAUACUGGAGUGUUUAAUAUGAGUCCACUGACUGGAGCCUGGGGUCCAAGCAGAGCUGGGGAGAGCAGGCAUGCUCUGAGCAUCAUGGUGCUGCAGGGUGAGAUAUGGGUAUGAAUGAAGCUUUCCCUUUUUGUUCCUUUUUGACCACUUCUGCUGAAACCAACCUGCUGAGAAACACUGAGGGCUAGCAGAGGUGUUAUGACAGCCCUUGUGCCUCCUAAGUUAAAAAAACCAGUUGGGUCAUUCCCAAGCAGGAGUGAAGAUGCCAUCUCCCCUAUCUUAACCACUAAGGUUUAAGAAGAGCAGAGAGAGAAGUCUUAAAAUAUCUUGACACCAGAAUUUCAGGAAGAAGAAAAGGAAAAGCCAGGGAAAGGAGGGAUGUGCUGAGCUGUAGCAGCACGUGGGCAGCCCCUGUGCUGGCACAGGCAGCCCGGCCCUGGUGACGGUGUGGGUGCUCGUGACUUCACCCCGGCUGGCCGCACUGCAGCUGGGUGUCUCCAGCUGUUUGACAUUCCCCUUCCUCCUCCCCAAGGCCGAGACGUCUGUCUGUCCACAUCCCGCCCAUGUCUGGAGCCAGCAGCUCCAAAGGGGAGCAGAAGGAGCCGGCGGAGUUUCCCCGCUCCGCUGCCUUUGUGUGCAAACCGGGUUUAUCUGUAUUGUUUGGCCAGCGCCAGCAAAUUACAGCCUGCCUAAUGCGUCGUUAGGGAGAGGCAAUUAAAUACCAACCCAACGAGUAUUGCGGCCAGCGUGACUGGCGAGAAACAGCUGCAACCUGCAUGGCAGCUGGGACAGACGGGUGGAAAACACCAGCCUCUCUAUUUGUGUCUUUAUUUGUGCCUUUGCUCUACCCUCUGCCGUGCCUGGCUGGGUGAAACCUGUGCAGGGCAGGGCAGGGUUAGGCAGCGAUUGUGCCUGGAUCCGGUGAGUUUUCUCUGGUUUGACUCCAGCCCAGUGGCUGGUGGUGCCCAUCCUGUGUGGUGCUGGGUCAGGUCACCAGAGGUCACAGGACUUUGCUUUUCCCCUGCAGAGCAUUCCUCCUGCUGCUUUGCAGCCCUGUGGGCUGUUCUUGCAGGCACAUCCUGUACAUCCCUCUAGGAUUUAGGGCUCCAGCUCAGUCUCCCAUCAAAUCCCCCCUGGUUUUCUAUGGCAUCGUCUUCAGUGCCCUUGUGCCCGAGCUCCUGACACCGAGCUUGUGUCAGUGCCACCCACCUGCAGCCUCCUGUGCUGUCCCCAGGUGAGGUUUUCUGUCCCCUUCCUGCUUCAUCUGCCAUGAUCAACAGCACAUUCACAUCUCUGUUCCUCAGCCUCCAGUGCUGAAUCACCCCAAGUGUUUUGUACACCACCAAUCCUGUUGCUAAUCCUGGACACCCUAAUGAAUCACUUUUUCUCCCCAGAUGCUGUGAGCACUCAUGGGGAGGGAGCCAUUUUGCUGUGGCCUGGAGUGUUUUCUUAGUGUUAUACAAAUAAACAGGGGUGGGUUUGAAUCGGGAUCUUUGGAAUCAACUUCCUGCAGGUGCUGAAAGAAUUUCUGAGUAGAUUUAGAGGGCUACCUUUGCAAACAGCAUCUUUAAGAAUCACUGAAGUGAUGUUCAUGUGAAGUGCUCUGGCACCAGAAGCAGGUGACGAGAA